UACGUAGGGUGCGAGCGUUAAUCGGAAUUACUGGGCGUAAAGCGUGCGCAGGCGGCUUCGCAAGUCAGGCGUGAAAUCCCCGGGCUUAACCUGGGAAUGGCGUCUGAAACUACGGAGCUGGAGUGUGGCAGAGGGAGGUAGAAUUCCACGUGUAGCGGUGAAAUGCGUAGAUAUGUGGAGGAAUACCGAUGGCGAAGGCAGCCUCCUGGGGCCAACACUGACGCUCAUGCACGAAAGCGUGGGGAGCAAACAGG
rnacentral:rRNA from 1 species